GACGAACGCUGGCGGCGUGCUUAGCACAUGCAAGUCGAACGGAAAGGCCCUGCUUUUGUGGGGUGCUCGAGUGGCGAACGGGUGUGUAACACGUGAGUAACCUGCCCUUGACUUUGGGAUAACUUCAGGAAACUGGGGCUAAUACCGGAUAGGAGCUCCUACUGCAUGGUGGGGGUUGGAAAGUUUCGGCGGUUGGGGAUGGACUCGCGGCUUAUCAGCUUGUUGGUGGGGUAGUGGCUUACCAAGGCUUUGACGGGUAGCCGGCCUGAGAGGGUGACCGGCCACAUUGGGACUGAGAUACGGCCCAGACUCCUACGGGAGGCAGCAGUGGGGAAUAUUGCACAAUGGGCGGAAGCCUGAUGCAGCAACGCCGCGUGCGGGAUGACGGCCUUCGGGUUGUAAACCGCUUUCGCCUGUGACGAAGCGUGAGUGACGGUAAUGGGUAAAGAAGCACCGGCUAACUACGUG
rnacentral:rRNA from 1 species